AAACACGGAGCUUGCUCUGUGGGAUCAGUGGCGAACGGGUGAGUAACACGUGAGCAACCUGCCCCUGACUCUGGGAUAAGCGCUGGAAACGGCGUCUAAUACUGGAUAUGUGACGUGACCGCAUGGUCUGCGUUUGGAAAGAUUUUUCGGUUGGGGAUGGGCUCGCGGCCUAUCAGCUAGUUGGUGAGGUAAUGGCUCACCAAGGCGACGAUCCGUAACUGGUCUGAGAGGAUGAUCAGUCACACUGGAACUGAGACACGGUCCAGACUCCUACGGGAGGCAGCAGUGGGGAAUAUUGGACAAUGGGCGAAAGCCUGAUCCAGCCAUGCCGCGUGUGUGAAGAAGGUCUUCGGAUUGUAAAGCACUUUAAGUUGGGAGGAAGGGCAGUAAGCUAAUACCUUGCUGUUUUGACGUUACCGACAGAAUAAGCACCGGCUAACUCUGUGCCAGCAGCCGCGGUAAU
rnacentral:rRNA from 1 species